UACGUAGGGUGCGAGCGUUAAUCGGAAUACUGGGCGUAAAGCGUGCGCAGGCGGUUUUUUUAAGACAGGCGUGAAAUCCCCGGGCUUAACCUGGGAACUGCGCUUGUGACUGGAAGGCUAGAGUACGGCAGAGGGGGGUGGAAGUUCCACGUGUAGCAGUGAAAUGCGUAGAGAUGUGGAGGAACACCGAUGGCGAAGGCAGCCCCCCUGGGCCGAUGACUGACGCUCGAUGCACGAAAGCGUCGGGGAGCAAACAGG
rnacentral:rRNA from 1 species